rnacentral:misc_RNA from 1 species
GAUGAAGAACGCAGCGAAAUGCGAUAAGUAAUGUGAAUUGCAGAAUUCAGUGAAUCAUCGAAUCUUUGAACGCACAUUGCGCCCGCCAGCAUUCUGGCGGGCAUGCCUGUUCGAGCGUCAUUUCAACCCUCAAGCUCUGCUUGGUGUUGGGGCCCUACGGUUGACGUAGGCCCUUAAAGGUAGUGGCGGACCCUCUCGGAGCCUCCUUUGCGUAGUAACUAACGUCUCGCAUUGGGAUUCGGAGGGACUCUUGCCGUAAAACCCCCAAAUUUUCUAUGGUUGACCUCGGAUCAGGUAGGAAUACCCGCUGAACUUAAGCAUAUCAAUAAGCGGAGGA